AUGGUUCUAAAAACUCGAGUGUCACUGGAUAUGCUUGGACGCAUUUUCAAUGGUUCUGGUAAACCUAUAGACAAUGGCCCACCAAUUUUACCAGAGGCAUACCUGGAUAUUUCUGGAAGUUCUAUCAAUCCCAGCGAACGGACAUACCCUGAAGAAAUGAUUCAGACUGGCAUAUCUACAAUUGAUGUCAUGAAUUCUAUCGCUCGUGGUCAGAAGAUCCCUCUGUUCUCCGCUGCAGGUCUGCCACACAAUGAAAUUGCUGCUCAGAUUUGCCGUCAGGCUCGGCUAGUAAAGCGUAAAGAGAAGACUGAUAAUAUCUUGGAGAAUGCCGAGGAGGACAAUUUUGCUAUUGUCUUUGCAGCUAUGGGAGUAAACAUGGAAACAACACAAUUUUUCAAGCGUGAUUUCGAGGAGAAUGGUUCAAUGGAGAGAGUUACCUUAUUUCUUAAUCUGGCAAAUGAUCCUACCAUCGAGCGUAUUAUUACUCCAAGAAUUGCUCUCACCACAGCGGAAUACUUGGCAUAUGAGUGUGGGAAGCAUGUUCUUGUCAUCCUGACUGACAUGAGUUCAUAUGCAGAUGCACUUCGUGAAGAAUGCCAUAUCCUGAAAAGGAAGAAGUCCAUGCCCUUCUAA
rnacentral:rRNA from 1 species